GGGGACAACAUCUCGAAAGGGAUGCUAAUACCGCAUACGUCCUACGGGAGAAAGCAGGGGACCUUCGGGCCUUGCGCUAAUAGAUGAGCCUAAGUCGGAUUAGCUAGUUGGUGGGGUAAAGGCCUACCAAGGCGACGAUCUGUAGCGGGUCUGAGAGGAUGAUCCGCCACACUGGGACUGAGACACGGCCCAG
rnacentral:rRNA from 1 species